rnacentral:rRNA from 1 species
CCUACGGGAGGCAGCAGUGGGGAAUUUUGGACAAUGGGCGAAAGCCUGAUCCAGCAAUGCCGCGUGAGUGAAGAAGGCCUUCGGGUUGUAAAGCUCUUUUGUCAGGGAAGAAACGGUGAGGGCUAAUAUCCUUUGCUAAUGACGGUACCUGAAGAAUAAGCACCGGCUAACUACGUGCCAGCAGCCGCGGUAAUACGUAGGGUGCAAGCGUUAAUCGGAAUUACUGGGCGUAAAGCGUGCGCAGGCGGUUUUGUAAGUCUGAUGUGAAAUCCCCGGGCUCAACCUGGGAAUUGCAUUGGAGACUGCAAGGCUAGAAUCUGGCAGAGGGGGGUAGAAUUCCACGUGUAGCAGUGAAAUGCGUAGAUAUGUGGAGGAACACCGAUGGCGAAGGCAGCCCCCUGGGUCAAGAUUGACGCUCAUGCACGAAAGCGUGGGGAGCAAACAGGAUUAGAUACCCUGGUAGUCCACGCCCUAAACGAUGUCUACUAGUUGUCGGGUCUUAAUUGACUUGGUAACGCAGCUAACGCGUGAAGUAGACCGCCUGGGGGUAAGGUACGGUCGCGAGUAAGUUAAACGUUAACUAAGUUAGAGUUAGACGGCGNGAGACGUUGCCGACGGACGACGACGAGGGAGGAGG